rnacentral:other from 1 species
ACUAACCUGAAAUGUUCGAUAACUCUUGUUGUUUUGAACCUACAUUUACUUUAAACGGGACUCCUACAUUGCCGUGUGGAUGUCAGGCCCUCAUUGCGCAGGGGAAGGCAGAAGCGCCGGUUGCGGUAACCCACCUAGCAGAUAGCUAGGAGUCAAAAGACAAGAGCCGGCAUUUUGGGGGGACA